CAUGCAAGUCGAACGGCAGCACGGAGCUUGCUCUGUGUGGCGAGUGGCGAACGGGUGAGUAAUAUAUCGGAACGUACCCUAGAGUGGGGGAUAACGUAGCGAAAGUUACGCUAAUACCGCAUACGAUCUAAGGAUGAAAGUGGGGGAUCGCAAGACCUCAUGCUCGUGGAGCGGCCGAUAUCUGAUUAGCUAGUUGGUAGGGUAAAAGCCUACCAAGGCAUCGAUCAGUAGCUGGUCUGAGAGGACGACCAGCCACACUGGAACUGAGACACGGUCCAGACUCCUACGGGAGGCAGCAGUGGGGAAUUUUGGACAAUGGGCGAAAGCCUGAUCCAGCAAUGCCGCGUGAGUGAAGAAGGCCUUCGGGUUGUAAAGCUCUUUUGUCAGGGAAGAAACGGUGAGAGCUAAUAUCUCUUGCUAAUGACGGUACCUGAAGAAUAAGCACCGGCUAACUACGUGCCAGCAGCCGCGGUAAUACGUAGGGUGCAAGCGUUAAUCGGAAUUACUGGGCGUAAAGCGUGCGCAGGCGGUUUUGUAAGUCUGAUGUGAAAUCCCCGGGCUCAACCUGGGAAUUGCAUUGGAGACUGCAAGGCUAGAAUCUGGCAGAGGGGGGUAGAAUUCCACGUGUAGCAGUGAAAUGCGUAGAUAUGUGGAGGAACACCGAUGGCGAAGGCAGCCCCCUGGGUCAAGAUUGACGCUCAUGCACGAAAGCGUGGGGAGCAAACAGGAUUAGAUACCCUGGUAGUCCACGCCCUAAACGAUGUCUACUAGUUGUCGGGUCUUAAUUGACUUGGUAACGCAGCUAACGCGUGAAGUAGACCGCCUGGGGAGUACGGUCGCAAGAUUAAAACUCAAAGGAAUUGACGGGGACCCGCACAAGCGGUGGAUGAUGUGGAUUAAUUCGAUGCAACGCGAAAAACCUUACCUACCCUUGACAUGGCCUGGAAUCCUCGAGAGAUUGGGGAAGUGCUCGAAAGGAG
rnacentral:rRNA from 1 species